rnacentral:lncRNA from 1 species
UGACAGAGCAUGUGUAAACUUACAGAAAUGCUGAAGCCAGAUUAUAACCUAGAGAUAGUUUAGUUGAUUUUCUCCCAGAAGCCUUUGCUGACCUUAAACAAAUAAACAGCCAGUUUUUUCUCCAGCGAAAAUGGAUUCAUUCGGGAUCAAGCAAAGAAUUGCAAUUUGGAGUCUGCAACCAUGAGAGAGGGAUAGACAGAGAAGAAUGAGAUGAGGAAGGAAGACAGGGAACCUCAACUAUCCCCCCGGUGCAUAGUUGUGUAUUCUUCGUUGUGGGUUCUUCUAGUUGCGGCAUGUGGGACGCUGCCUCAGCGUGGUCUGACGAGCAGUGCCAUGUCCGCGCCCAGGAUUCAAACCAACGAAACACUGGGCCGCCUGCAGCGGAGCGCGCGAACUUAACCACUCGGCCACGGGGCCAGCCCCCUCUUUCGUAUAUUUAACAAGGCCUUUUUAUCCAUGACAGCUACAAAGUAGGACAAUGUCAAAGCAAACUGGGGGAAAUAUCUUUUUAAUGUUUCAUUUAAAUGAAAAGUGAAGCAUUCGUGGAAAUAUUUUAUAUAUUCAUUACAAU